GAUGAACGCUGGCGGCGUGCCUAAUACAUGCAAGUCGAGCGAACGGACGAGAAGCUUGCUUCUCUGAUGUUAGCGGCGGACGGGUGAGUAACACGUGGAUAACCUACCUAUAAGACUGGGAUAACUUCGGGAAACCGGAGCUAAUACCGGAUGAUAUUUUGAACCGCAUGGUUCAAAAGUGAAAGACGGUCUUGCUGUCACUUAUAGAUGGAUCCGCGCUGCAUUAGCUAGUUGGUAAGGUAACGGCUUACCAAGGCAACGAUGCAUAGCCGACCUGAGAGGGGGGUCGGCCACACUGGAACGGAGCCGCGGUCCAGACUCCUAAGGGAGGCAGCAGUAGGGAAUGUUCCGCAAUGGGCGAAAGCCUGACGGAGCAGCGCCGCGUGAGUGAUGAAGGUCUUCGGAUCGUAAAACUCUGUUAUUAGGGAAGAACAUAUGUGUAAGUAACUGUGCACAUCUUGACGGUACCUAAUCAGAAAGCCACGGCUAACUACGUG
rnacentral:rRNA from 1 species